rnacentral:RNase_P_RNA from 1 species
GGUGUUGGCUAGGCAGCCGCGGGGCGGCGGAGAGAAAACCGUCGUCUCGAGGAAAGUCCGGACACCGCAGAGCGAGGGUGGUCGGGAAAUCCGACCCGGGGAGACCCGCGGGACAGUGCCACAGAAACGACACCGCCUAAGCGGCGGCCCGCACGUGAGGCCGUCGCCGGUAAGGGUGAAAUGGUGCGGUAAGAGCGCACCGGCGGCGCGGCGACGCGCCGGCCGAGGCAAACCCCACCCGGUGCAAGGCCAAGCAGGGACGUUGACGCUGCUCGCCGAGUCCCAGGUAGGCCGCAGGGCCGCGAGGCCCGUCCGAGCCGCAAGGCCCGGGCAGAUGGAUGGCUGCUCACGACAGAAUCCGGCUUAACGGCCAGCAGCGAAG